GAUGAACGCUGGCGGCGUGCCUAAUACAUGCAAGUCGAGCGAACAGACGAGGAGCUUGUUCCUCUGACGUUAGCGGCGGACGGGUGAGUAACACGUGGAUAACCUACCUAUAAGACUGGGAUAACUUCGGGAAACCGGAGCUAAUACCGGAUAAUAUAUUGAACCGCAUGGUUCAAUAGUGAAAGACGGUUUUGCUGUCACUUAUAGAUGGAUCCGCGCCGCAUUAGCUAGUUGGUAAGGUAACGGCUUACCAAGGCAACGAUGCGUAGCCGACCUGAGAGGGUGAUCGGCCACACUGGAACUGAGACACGGUCCAGACUCCUACGGGAGGCAGCAGUAGGGAAUCUUCCGCAAUGGGCGAAAGCCUGACGGAGCAACGCCGCGUGAGUGAUGAAGGUCUUCGGAUCGUAAAACUCUGUUAUUAGGGAAGAACAAAUGUGUAAGUAACUAUGCACGUCUCGACGGUACCUAAUCAGAAAGCCACGGCUAACUACGUG
rnacentral:rRNA from 1 species